GGGCGGCUGGCCUAAUGGUAAGGCGUCUGAUUUCGGCUGAGCUAUGUAUGCUCAAUAAGGUCUCAGAAGACUGCAGGUUCGAUCCCUGCGUCGCUCA
rnacentral:tRNA from 1 species